UAGGGAAUCUUCCACAAUGGACGCAAGUCUGAUGGAGCAACGCCGCGUGAGUGAAGAAGGUUUUCGGAUCGUAAAGCUCUGUUGUUGGUGAAGAAGGAUAGAGGCAGUAACUGGUCUUUAUUUGACGGUAAUCAACCAGAAAGUCACGGCUAACUACGUGCCAGCAGCCGCGGUAAUACGUAGGUGGCAAGCGUUGUCCGGAUUUAUUGGGCGUAAAGCGAGCGCAGGCGGAAUGAUAAGUCUGAUGUGAAAGCCCACGGCUCAACCGUGGAACUGCAUCGGAAACUGUCAUUCUUGAGUGCAGAAGAGGAGAGUGGAAUUCCAUGUGUAGCGGUGGAAUGCGUAGAUAUAUGGAAGAACACCAGUGGCGAAGGCGGCUCUCGGGUCUGCAACUGACGCUGAGGCUCGAAAGCAUGGGUAGCGAACAGG
rnacentral:rRNA from 1 species